UACGUAGGGGGCAAGCGUUGUCCGGAUUUAUUGGGCGUAAAGAGCGUGUAGGCGGCCAAACAGGUCCGUUGUGAAAACUGGAGGCUCAACCUCCAGACGUCGACGGAAACCGUGUGGCUAGAGUCCGGAAGAGGAGAGUGGAAUUCCUGGUGUAGCGGUGAAAUGCGCAGAUAUCAGGAAGAACACCAAUGGCGAAGGCAGCUCUCUGGGACGGUACUGACGCUGAGACGCGAAAGCGUGGGGAGCGAACAGG
rnacentral:rRNA from 1 species